rnacentral:lncRNA from 1 species
CAUUGGCAACAGCGUGACCCACACACCUGUUGCCAAGGCAACAGUCACCCUAUUCCCAGAAUCCACUUGGCUCACCUCCCACCUUCACCUGUGAGUAAGUCACCAUCCAUAUAUAGAGGAAGGCCCCUCUGAUCUCUCUCUCUCUUUCCCUCCUUCUCUUUCCGCAGCCACCUUGUCCUUUUCUCUCUCACUAAACCUCAUAUGGAACUGCUUGGCCUGGUGCGGUCUUUCUGGAAGCACACAACGAUCACAACAGGCGUCCUAUCUCUGUCCACUACCGUCCUCUCCUCAACUCUGAAACCAAUCACAGGAAGCAUGACUGUAACGGACACUUGAGAGCAGCAUCCCCAUAAAGACAGGCUCUGGAUCUCUGCUGCUUCAGGGUUGUUUUACUUCACCCUUUUCAUUGGACACCUCAGGAGUCUUCAACCCCCAUCCCCAUUGUUUGGCAUCCUAAUAAACACUCCUAAUAAGCCCAGGCUACACUGCAGCCCAGGACACUGCUGUCUUCAGAAAAGAGUGACGCCUGCAGCAACUGUCAUCUGUCCUGGAGAAGCCCAGCUGAGAUCUCCAACAAACCCUGCCACAAAGUGCAAUAGAACAGAUACAUUUAGUGUAUACUCUCCUGCUAAAUGGAACCUGCGCUCCUAAAUGAUCUAAAAAUGCUUAAUUAUUAAUAAAUCCCCCAGGGAUCCGUGACAUUUGGG